rnacentral:misc_RNA from 1 species
GGGAGCCGGAUGUGGGAUAAGCCGCUUGUCCGGUUCUGAGAGGGGGCGGGUAUCAACUGUCGUCAUGGGUGAGAUAUUGUGGCGCCGCCGGGAAACCAGGCGGCAAACGGAGAAAACAAACUUUACCCUAUCGCGCUGGAAGUACCUGUCUUACUCAAAA